CCGGCGAUGUCCGAAUGGGGAAACCCAGUGCAAUUCGUUGCACUAUCGUUAACUGAAUACAUAGGUUAACGAGGCGAACCGGGGGAACUGAAACAUCUAAGUACCCCGAGGAAAAGAAAUCAACCGAGAUUCCCCCAGUAGCGGCGAGCGAACGGGGAGCAGCCCAGAGUCUGAAUCAGCUUGUGUGUUAGUGGAACGGUCUGGAAAGUCCGACGGUACAGGGUGAUAGUCCCGUACACCAAAAUGCACAGGCUGUGAACUCGAAGAGUAGGGCGGGACACGUGGUAUCCUGUCUGAAUAUGGGGGGACCAUCCUCCAAGGCUAAAUACUCCUGACUGACCGAUAGUGAACCAGUACCGUGAGGGAAAGGCGAAAAGAACCCCGGCGAGGGGAGUGAAAAAGAACCUGAAACCGUGUACGUACAAGCAGUGGGAGCACCUUCGGGUGUGACUGCGUACCUUUUGUAUAAUGGGUCAGCGACUUAUAUUCUGUAGCAAGGUUAACCGUAUAGGGGAGCCGCAGGGAAACCGAGUCUUAACUGGGCGUUAAGUUGCAGGGUAUAGACCCGAAACCCGGUGAUCUAGCCAUGGGCAGGUUGAAGGUUGGGUAACACUAACUGGAGGACCGAACCGACUAAUGUUGAAAAAUUAGCGGAUGACUUGUGGCUGGGGGUGAAAGGCCAAUCAAACCGGGAGAUAGCUGGUUCUCCCCGAAAGCUAUUUAGGUAGCGCCUCGUGAAUUCAUCUUCGGGGGUAGAGCACUGUUUCGGCUAGGGGGUCAUCCCGACUUACCAACCCGAUGCAAACUACGAAUACCGAAGAAUGUUAUCACGGGAGACACACGGCGGGUGCUAACGUCCGUCGUGAAGAGGGAAACAACCCAGACCGCCAGCUAAGGUCCCAAAGUCAUGGUUAAGUGGGAAACGAUGUGGGAAGGCACAGACAGCCAGGAUGUUGGCUUAGAAGCAGCCAUCAUUUAAAGAAAGCGUAAUAGCUCACUGGUCGAGUCGGCCUGCGCGGAAGAUGUAACGGGGCUAAACCAUGCACCGAAGCUGCGGCAGCGACACUAUGUGUUGUUGGGUAGGGGAGCGUUCUGUAAGCCUGCGAAGGUGUGCUGUGAGGCAUGCUGGAGGUAUCAGAAGUGCGAAUGCUGACAUAAGUAACGAUAAAGCGGGUGAAAAGCCCGCUCGCCGGAAGACCAAGGGUUCCUGUCCAACGUUAAUCGGGGCAGGGUGAGUCGACCCCUAAGGCGAGGCCGAAAGGCGUAGUCGAUGGGAAACAGGUUAAUAUUCCUGUACUUGGUGUUACUGCGAAGGGGGGACGGAGAAGGCUAUGUUAGCCGGGCGACGGUUGUCCCGGUUUAAGCAUGUAGGCUGGUUAUCCAGGCAAAUCCGGAUAAUCAAGGCUGAGGUGUGAUGACGAGGCACUACGGUGCUGAAGUAACAAAUGCCCUGCUUCCAGGAAAAGCCUCUAAGCAUCAGGUAACAUCAAAUCGUACCCCAAACCGACACAGGUGGUCAGGUAGAGAAUACCAAGGCGCUUGAGAGAACUCGGGUGAAGGAACUAGGCAAAAUGGUGCCGUAACUUCGGGAGAAGGCACGCUGGUGUGUAGGUGAAGUCCCUGCGGAUGGAGCUGAGACCAGUCGAAGAUACCAGCUGGCUGCAACUGUUUAUUAAAAACACAGCACUGUGCAAACACGAAAGUGGACGUAUACGGUGUGACGCCUGCCCGGUGCCGGAAGGUUAAUUGAUGGGGUUAUCCGUAAGGAGAAGCUCUUGAUCGAAGCCCCGGUAAACGGCGGCCGUAACUAUAACGGUCCUAAGGUAGCGAAAUUCCUUGUCGGGUAAGUUCCGACCUGCACGAAUGGCGUAAUGAUGGCCAGGCUGUCUCCACCCGAGACUCAGUGAAAUUGAACUCGCUGUGAAGAUGCAGUGUACCCGCGGCAAGACGGAAAGACCCCGUGAACCUUUACUAUAGCUUGACACUGAACAUUGAGCCUUGAUGUGUAGGAUAGGUGGGAGGCUUUGAAGCGUGGACGCCAGUCUGCGUGGAGCCAACCUUGAAAUACCACCCUUUAAUGUUUGAUGUUCUAACGUUGGCCCCUUACCGGGGUUGCGGACAGUGUCUGGUGGGUAGUUUGACUGGGGCGGUCUCCUCCCAAAGCGUAACGGAGGAGCACGAAGGUUAGCUAAUCCUGGUCGGACAUCAGGAGGUUAGUGCAAUGGCAUAAGCUAGCUUGACUGCGAGCGUGACGGCGCGAGCAGGUGCGAAAGCAGGUCAUAGUGAUCCGGUGGUUCUGAAUGGAAGGGCCAUCGCUCAACGGAUAAAAGGUACUCCGGGGAUAACAGGCUGAUACCGCCCAAGAGUUCAUAUCGACGGCGGUGUUUGGCACCUCGAUGUCGGCUCAUCACAUCCUGGGGCUGAAGUAGGUCCCAAGGGUAUGGCUGUUCGCCAUUUAAAGUGGUACGCGAGCUGGGUUUAGAACGUCGUGAGACAGUUCGGUCCCUAUCUGCCGUGGGCGCUGGAGAAUUGAGGGGGGCUGCUCCUAGUACGAGAGGACCGGAGUGGACGCAUCACUGGUGUUCGGGUUGUCAUGCCAAUGGCACUGCCCGGUAGCUAAAUGCGGAAGAGAUAAGUGCUGAAAGCAUCUAAGCACGAAACUUGCCCCGAGAUGAGUUCUCCCUGAGACUUUAAGUCUCCUGAAGGAACGUUAAAGACGAUGACGUUGAUAGGCCGGGUGUGUAAGCGCAGCGAUGCGUUGAGCUAACCGGUACUAAUGAACCGUGAGGCUUAACCUUACAACGCCGAAG
rnacentral:rRNA from 1 species